rnacentral:rRNA from 1 species
UACGUAGGGGGCAAGCGUUGUCCGGAUUUAUUGGGCGUAAAGAGCUCGUAGGCGGUUUGGUAAGUCUGGUGUGAAAUCUCCACGCUCAACGUGGAGGGGCCACCCGAUACUGCCAUGACUGGAGUCCGGUAGAGGAGUGUGGAAUUCCCGGUGUAGCGGUGAAAUGCGCAGAUAUCGGGAGGAACACCCGUAGCGAAGGCGGCUCUCUGGGACGGUACUGACGCUGAGUGAGCGAAAGCCAGGGGAGCAAACGGG